rnacentral:rRNA from 1 species
GUAGGUGGCAAGCGUUGUCCGGAAUUAUUGGGCGUAAAGCGCGCGCAGGCGGUUCUUUAAGUCUGAUGUGAAAGCCCACGGGCUCAACCGUGGAGGGUCAUUGGAAACUGGGGAACUUGAGUACAGAAGAGGAAAGCGGAAUUCCACGUGUAGCGGUGAAAUGCGUAGAGAUGUGGAGGAACACCAGUGGCGAAGGCGGCUUUCUGGUCUGUAACUGACGCUGAGGCGCGAAAGCGUGGGGAGCAAACAGGAUUAGAUACCCUGGUAGUCCACGCCCGUAAACGAUGAGUGCUAAGUGUUAGGGGGUUUCCGCCCCUUAGUGCUGCAGCUAACGCAUUAAGCACUCCGCCUGGGGAGUACGGCCGCAAAGGCUG